rnacentral:rRNA from 1 species
UACGUAGGGUGCAAGCGUUAAUCGGAAUUACUGGGCGUAAAGCGUGCGCAGGCGGUUUUGUAAGUCAGACGUGAAAUCCCCGGGCUUAACCUGGGAACUGCGUUUGAAACUACAAGGCUAGAGUGUGGCAGAGGGGGGUGGAAUUCCACGUGUAGCAGUGAAAUGCGUAGAGAUGUGGAGGAACACCGAUGGCGAAGGCAGCCCCCUGGGUUAACACUGACGCUCAGGCACGAAAGCGUGGGGAGCAAACAGG